UUUGGUCCCCGGCCCUCCUCCGAUCGCCUAGCAACCGUCUGCGGACCCGGUGCUGCCCGCGGCCCAGGCAGCUCCGCUCUCAGGUUGUGGGUCCUCCCGGCGAGACACAAUUCGGAAAGCACCGAGGCCUGUGUUAACCGUUCCUGUGCCGACAGCUAUGUAGCAGAACCAAAGGAAAGUUUUUUGUUCAUCGCUCUUUCUCGCUGCUUCUCUCGUCCUGGCAGGACGUUUCCUUGGGUCAGAAAAGAGAAAGGAAAGGCAGAGAGUCAGCCUGCCGUUACAGGACUGGAAGGUGGUAGAGACGGCCUCCAGCCUCCCAGUCUGUAACACUACCCAGUACUGCCGCUCUCGCGUUGCACCUGAGACCUCUCUCUGAAGAAACCUUUCCACUCCUGCAGUGGACUUGCAAGUCCCAAAAUGGCCCCGGCUGCUUUUUUUUUUUUUUUUUUAAUGUAUUGGCCUGACUUGCUCUUGAGUGCAACUUGAAUCCAAGAGGAGCUACUACUCAUUUUUGGAGUUCCUAUGUCCUCCCCUUAAUGACAUGUCCUAGAAUCUUGCCGUUCAUAGUCAUGAACGGACUGGCAGCCUCUGUUUUUACCUCCUUUCUGAUAACCUAGGUUUCAGUCUUCUGGCCUACCUUAUGAGAUGUUAUGAUUUAGAAGAAGGAAUAUGUAUAUUUGGUCUUCAUUUCAUUCCUGGCUCAAAGUUCCUAAAACCCUUGGAAUUUCCUGAGUGAUAUGAACACUAGGAGCAUCUUCUGUUCUAAUAUUUGGUCAUUGACUGUGGUUGCAUUGGUUCCAAGCUCUUGAACUUGGCACCCUCCCAUACCCUAGCCUGUUGUAUCUCUUCAUCUGGCUGUUCAUCUGUAUCCUUUAUCCUUUAAUAAAUCGGUGAGUGUAAACAAGU